AAGACCUUGCGCUUUUGGAGCGGCCGAUGUCUGAUUAGCUUGUUGGUGAGGUAAAAGCUUGCCAAGGCUUCGAUCAGUAGCUGGUCUGAGAGGACGACCAGCCACACUGGGACUGAGACACGGCCCAGACUCCUACGGGAGGCAGCAGUGGGGAAUUUUGGACAAUGGGGGCAACCCUGAUCCAGCCAUGCCGCGUGAGUGAAGAAGGCCUUCGGGUUGUAAAGCUCUUUCAGCCGGAACGAAACGGUUACGGUUAAUACCCGUGACUACUGACGGUACCGGAAGAAGAAGCACCGGCUAACUACGUGCCAGCAGCCGCGGUAAUACGUAGGGUGCGAGUGUUAAUCGGAAUUACUGGGCGUAAAGCGUGCGCAGGUGGUUUUGUAAGUCAGAUGUGAAAUCCCCGGGCUCAACCUGGGAACU
rnacentral:rRNA from 1 species